CGAAGAUAAAAUAUCCCAUCUUCUCCUGAUGGUUUGUGAAAAUUUUGAACUUUGGGCGUGAUACUGUAAUGGAAUCGUGAUGCCUUGAUUCUUCUUUCUAUCCUUUCUGUCUAUGCCUUUAAAGAUUUUUUCAGCUUUCUCCAGACAUUUAUGUAAGAUGUUACGUUUAUAUCCCCGUUCCAAGAAGGAUCUGGUCAUUGCCUCCAAUUGUGCUGUGCAGGUAUCACUGUCGGAAUUGUUUCUGAAUACCCUUAGAAAUUGUGAAAUUGGAAGGGAAUUUUU